CCUACGGGUGGCAGCAGUGGGGAAUAUUGGACAAUGGGGGGAACCCUGAUCCAGCCAUGCCGCGUGUGUGAGGAAGGCCCUCGGGUUGUAAAGCACUUUCAGUGAGGAAGAACGCCUGGUGGUUAAUACCCAUCAGGAAAGACAUCACUCACAGAAGAAGCACCGGCUAACUCCGUGCCAGCAGCCGCGGUAAUACGGAGGGUGCGAGCGUUAAUCGGAAUUACUGGGCGUAAAGCGCGCGUAGGUGGCUUGAUAAGCCGGUUGUGAAAGCCCCGGGCUCAACCUGGGAACGGCAUCCGGAACUGUCAAGCUAGAGUGCAGGAGAGGAAGGUAGAAUUCCCGGUGUAGCGGUGAAAUGCGUAGAGAUCGGGAGGAAUACCAGUGGCGAAGGCGGCCUUCUGGACUGACACUGACACUGAGGUGCGAAAGCGUGGGUAGCAAACAGGAUUAGAUACCCCAGUAGUC
rnacentral:rRNA from 1 species